rnacentral:rRNA from 1 species
GAUGAACGCUGGCGGCGUGCCUAACACAUGCAAGUCGAACGGAGAUGGUGUAAGCGGAGACUUCGGUCAAAGGUUAUAGUAUCUUAGUGGCGGACGGGUGAGUAACGCGUGGGUAACCUGCCGUAUACAGGGGGAUAACAACUGGAAACAGUUGCUAAAACCGCAUAAGCGCACACUGUUGCAUGACAGAGUGUGAAAAUUUCCGGAGGUAUACGAUGGACCCGCGUCUGAUUAGCCAGUUGGCAGGGUAACGGCCUACCAAAGCGACGAUCAGUAGCCGGCCUGAGAGGGUGGACGGCCACAUUGGGACUGAGACACGGCCCAA